rnacentral:rRNA from 1 species
UGGUGGAGUGAUUUGUCUGGUUAAUUCCGUUAACGAACGAGACCUCGACCUGCUAAAUAGUUCGGCGAAUUCUUCGGGAUUCGUACGUGACUUCUUAGAGGGACUAUCGGUGGUUAGCCGAUGGAAGUUCGAGGCAAUAACA